CGAACGCUGGCGGCGUGGUUUAGGCAUGCAAGUCGAACGAUCUGCUGUAAUGUAGAAAGUGGCAAAAGGGUGAGUAAUGCGUGGGUAAUUUACCAUAAGGCUAGGAAUAACCUGCUGAAAAGCGGGCUAAUACCUGAUAAGACCACAUUUCGAACACGGAGAGUGGUUAAAGCCGGGGACCCCAACAGGGCCUGGCACCUUUUGAUGAGCCCACGUCCUAUCAGCUAGUUGGUGGGGUAAUGGCCUACCAAGGCAUUUGACGGGUAGCUGGUCUGAGAGGAUGGUCAGCCACACUGGGACUGAGACACUGCCCAGACUCCUACGGGAGGCUGCAGUCGAGAAUCUUUUGCAAUGCGCGAAAGCGUGACAAUGCGACGCCGCGUGAGCGAUGAAGUUCUUCGGAAUGUAAAGCUCUGUCAGCUCGGAUGAAUGUCAUAUACUGAAUAAUUAUAUGAUUUGACGGUACGAGCAGAGGAAGCAACGGCUAACUCC
rnacentral:rRNA from 1 species